rnacentral:rRNA from 1 species
UACGAAGGGGGCUAGCGUUGCUCGGAAUCACUGGGCGUAAAGCGCACGUAGGCGGUUGCCAAGUCGGGGGUGAAAUCCUGGAGCUCAACUCCAGAACUGCCUUCGAUACUGGCGAUCUUGGAGUCCGGGAGAGGUGAGUGGAACUGCGAGUGUAGAGGUGAAAUUCGUAGAUAUUUGCAAGAACACCAGUGGCGAAGGCGGCUCACUGGCCCGGUACUGACGCUGAGGUGCGAAAGCGUGGGGAGCAAACAGG